CAAAGAGUAGUUUAACUGAGAAUACUAGCUUUGGGAGUUAGUGGUAGGGGUUAAAAUCCCUUCUCUUUGA
rnacentral:tRNA from 1 species